CAGUACCGUGAGGGAAAGGUGAAAAGCACCCCGGGAGGGGAGUGAAACAGUACCUGAAACCGUGCGCCCACGAGCAGUCGGAGCACCUUUAUGGUGUGACGGCGUGCCUUUUGUAGAAUGAGCCAGCGAGUCGCUGGCGCGGGGCGAGGUUAACCGAAAGGGAGCCGUAGCGAAAGCGAGCCUUAACAGGGCGACUUGAGUCCCGCGCCGCGGACGCGAAGCCGGGUGAGCUAUCCGUGGGCAGGCUGAAGCGGGGGUAAGACCCCGUGGAGGGCCGAACGCACGUCGGUUGAAAACGGCGGCGAUGACCUGCGGAUAGGGGUGAAAGGCCAAUCAAACCCGGAGAUAUCUCGUUCUCCCCGAAAUAGCUUUAGGGCUAGCGUCGCGCGUUCACCGCCGGAGGUAGAGCACCGGAUGGACGAGGGGGCUUCGCCGCCUACCGAAUCCAACCGAACUCCGAAUGCCGGCGGCCCAGAGCGCGGCAGUCAGAGCAUGUGGGCUAAGCUGUGUGCUCGAGAGGGAAACAGCCCGGACCGCCCGCUAAGGUCCCCAAGUUCCAGCCGAGUGGCAAAGGAUGUGCGUCCGCCCAGACAACCAGGAUGUUGGCUUAGAAGCAGCCAUGCAUUCAAAGAGUGCGUAACAGCUCACUGGUCGAGUGGACAUGCGCCGACAAUACACGGGGCUAAGCUGGACACCGAAGCGGCGGGAUUUUAAUUCAUUAGAAUCGGUAGGGGAGCUUCCCAUGGGCGGAGAAGCCGGAGGGCGACCGACGGUGGAGCGCAUGGGAGUGAGAAUGCUGGCAUGAGUAGCGAGAGACGAGAGAGUAACUCGUCCGCCGUGAACCCGAGGUUUCCUGGGCAAGGCUAAUCCUCCCAGGGUCAGUCGGGGGCUAAGGCGAGGCCGGUAGGCGUAGCCGACGCGCAGCAGGCAGACAUUCCUGCACCGCGCACGCGGCGCUACGACCGACGGGGCGACGGAUGGGGGUGGCUCGGCGGGGUUCUGGACGUCCCCGUGAUGGAGCGCGGCCCGCGGACCAGGGAAAUCCGGUCCGCAGAAGGGCGAGGCUCCGGACGAAGCGACUGAGCGAAGCGAGUGAGCCCGAGGUCCCUAGAAAAACCCCUAGGCAGGCGCGUGCGCGCCCGUACCGCAAACCGACACAGGUGGGUGGGUAGAACAUACCGAGGCGAUCGGGUCAACCAUGGUCAAGGAACUCGGCACAAUGGCCCCGUAACUUCGGGAGAAGGGGUGCCCGCGCGUACGUGAACCGGCUCGCCCGGGGAGCGGAGGCGGGCCGCAGUGGAGAGGCCCAAGCGACUGUUUACCAAAAACACAGGACUCUGCAGAAGCCGCAAGGCGACGUAUAGGGUCUGACGCCUGCCCGGUGCCGGAAGGUCACGCGGAGGGGUUAGCCGCAAGGCGAGGCCCCGAAGCCAAGCCCCGGUAAACGGCGGCCGUAACUAUAACGGUCCUAAGGUAGCGAAAUUCCUUGUCGGGUAAGUUCCGACCUGCACGAAAGGCGCAACGACUUGGGCGCUGUCUCGACCAUGGACCCGGUGAAAUUGCACUGGUCGUGAAGAUGCGACUUACCCGCGGAAGGACGGAAAGACCCCGUGAACCUUCACUGCAGCUUGGCAUUGGCCGCUGGUCCCGCGUGUAGAGGAUAGGCAGGAGGCAUCGAUCCGGAGGCGCCAGCCCCCGGGGAGCCGCCCUUGGAAUACUGCCCUCGCGCGACCGGCGUCCUAACCCGAGGCCGUCAACCGGCUCGGGGACCGUGCCAGGCGGGCAGUUUGACUGGGGCGGUCGCCUCCUAAAGGGUAACGGAGGCGCGCGAAGGUCCGCUCGGGACGGUCGGCAACCGUCCUUUUGAAUGCAAGAGUACAAGCGGGCUUGACUGCGAGGCCCACAAGCCGAGCAGGUGCGAAAGCAGGCUCUAGUGAUCCGGCGGCCCCGAGUGGGUGGGCCGUCGCUCAACGGAUAAAAGGUACUCCGGGGAUAACAGGCUGAUCUUGCCCAAGAGUCCACAUCGACGGCAAGGUUUGGCACCUCGAUGUCGGCUCAUCGCAUCCUGGGGCUGGAGCAGGUCCCAAGGGUACGGCUGUUCGCCGUUUAAAGCGGUACGCGAGCUGGGUUCAGAACGUCGUGAGACAGUUCGGUCCCUAUCCUCCGUGGGCGCAGGAGAAUCGAUGGAGGCUGCCCCCAGUACGAGAGGACCGGGGUGGACGCACCUCCGGUGAACCGGUUGUCGACCAACGGCACGGCCGGGUAGCCGCGUGCGGCGCGGAUAACCGCUGAAGGCAUCUAAGCGGGAAGCCGUUCCAGGGAUUAGUUCU
rnacentral:rRNA from 1 species